rnacentral:misc_RNA from 1 species
AUCUCAACUAUUAAAUAGCUGCAAAUCCACAACACAAAUGCAAGCAUUCAAGAAAACUCAAUUCGUAUUUCAAUUGCAAAUGGUCUAACAAAGAAAAAUAAAUUAAAAAAAUUGCAUAGAGCGACCAUUGUUGAUGAAUCUGUGGCAUACAUCAAAUCUUUAAUUUUCCUCUAAAAUAGAAACCCAAACAAUUUAGACGAAUAUAUUAGCAAACAGAACAAAGAAAGAAACGAUAGAAACAUAUAACUAUGGGUGGAGGAAAGGAGUACCAACUUCUUGAGAUUUUGGGAAAUGUCUUCGUGGAAAACCAGAAAUGAAGAAGAAAAGGAAGGGAAGGAGAGAAA